rnacentral:rRNA from 1 species
UAAGGAAUAUUGGUCAAUGGAGGCAACUCUGAACCAGCCAUGCCGCGUGCAGGAAGAAGGCCCUAUGGGUCGUAAACUGCUUUUGAACAAGAGAAAACCCCGGUACGUGUACUGGGUUGAUAGUAUUGUUAGAAUAAGCAUCGGCUAACUUCGUGCCAGCAGCCGCGGUAAGACGAAGGAUGCAAGCGUUAUCCGGAUUCAUUGGGUUUAAAGGGUGCGUAGGCGGACUGAUAAGUCAGUGGUGAAAUCUCUCGGCUUAACCGNGAAACUGCCAUUGAUACUGUUAGUCUAGAGUACAGAUGAUGUGGGCGGAAUAUGACAUGUAGUGGUGAAAUACUUAGAUAUGUCAUAGAACACCGAUUGCGAAGGCAGCUCACAAAACUGUAAACUGACGCUGAGGCACGAAAGUGCGGGGAUCAAACAGGAUUAGAUACCCGCGUAGUCCCUGAGCGGGCUGGCAAGGCGCAU